rnacentral:rRNA from 1 species
UACAGAGGUCCCAAGCGUUGUUCGGAUUCACUGGGCGUAAAGGGUGCGCAGGUGGCGCUUCAAGUUUGAUGUGAAAGCUUCGGGCUUAACCCGGAAAUGGCACUGAAUACUGGAGUGCUGGAGGUUUGGAGGGGGGACUGGAAUUCUCGGUGUAGCAGUGAAAUGCGUAGAUAUCGAGAGGAACACCAGUGGCGAAGGCGAGUCCCUGGACAACACCUGACACUGAGGCACGAAAGCUAGGGGAGCAAACAGG